rnacentral:hammerhead_ribozyme from 1 species
AUCCAGAGGACGAGUCCCAAAUAGGAUGAAACGUGCGUCCUGGAU